UAGGUCUGUAUGAAUGUGAUGUGUUAAAGCAGCAAGCACAGUUGUGCUGCGUUUUGGAUAUUUAGUUUUUUCUUUAGUUGAACACCAUCUUGGUGUUUUCAUUUAUACCAUCUAAUAUAUGACACACUGUUGUAGUAUGUAUAAUUUUGUGGUCUUUAUUUCCCUUUGUAUUCAUUUUAAGCAUCUAUUAAAUAAAUUGUUGUAUUGUGAAA